rnacentral:rRNA from 1 species
AUACGGAGGAUCCGAGCGUUAUCCGGAUUUAUUGGGUUUAAAGGGUGCGCAGGCGGCCAUUUAAGUCAGCGGUUAAAUCGUGGGGCUCAACCCCAUUCUGCCGUUGAUACUGGGUGGCUUGAUUGCGGUCGAGGUUGGCGGAAUUCGUUGUGUAGCGGUGAAAUGCAUAGAUAUGACGAAGAACACCGAUUGCGUAGGCAGCUGACCAGACCGCAAAUGACGCUCAUGCACGAAAGUGCGGGGAUCGAACAGGAUUAGAUACCCUGGUAGUCCGCACAGUAAACGAUGAAUACUUGUUUUCGGCGAUAUAAUGUCGGAGGCAAGGCGAAAGCGAUAAGUAUUCCACCUGGGGAGUACGCCGGCAACGGUGAAACUCAAAUGAAUUGACGGGG